CCUGAAAUAAAGAUUUGAGGAAGUCGCGUGGAGAGCAUAAGAACGAAAGAGAGACAGAGAAAGAGAAGGAGGAGGAGAAGAGAGAGAGAGAGAGAGAGAGAUUAAAUGGAGAGGAGGGGGGUCUGGCCGUGUUGCACAUACCAGUCGGUCCACCUCGCCUCUGAAGUUCGCCUCGGCACGCCGAGCUAACAUCGACGAGGUUCGACCGCUGAUUGGCCCUCACAGAGAUCAACGUCAGACGCCACCUCGCCAAUUGCGCGACGCCGUAUAUGCCGCGCAUGCGUGCUAUUUUCAGACAGAACAGUCGCGGUAGCAUUCCAAGUUCGACCGUGCGUUGAACGACGUUGAUUUUGAUUUUGCCCAAUAAAUGUUUAAUUAUUAAUUAAUUUUAUGUUUAUGUUGGGUUAUGUUGGUAUAUUGGUGACAUUUAUUUUCACGGUGAAUUCAAUACGAAAAUAAAAAUUGAUUAUAAUAGUUGAAAUCAAUAUUUACGAGUAAACCUUUUGUCAUAAUCAUCAAAAAGAACGUUUUGUUCGAUUGCAACUUGUGAUAUCAGUAUUUUAUUAAAAUAAAUAGUUGUAAUUAUUAACAUAUACUUCAUUUUAACAAAAGAAAAAAAAAAGAAAAAAAAUAAAAAUAAAAUAAAAAUGAUAGAAAAGAUUUAUGAAAAAAUUACGAUAAUUGCAAUCUUACAAUUAGGUAUUUAUAUUUAAUAAUUUUAUGAAUUUUGAUUAAUUUAUAAAAUAUAUUCUUAAAUUGAAUAUAUAGUAUUGUUUAUAAGUUAUUCCAAUAUUAUGUUUUAAAAUUAACAUAUAAAUAAAUUGAUUUUUAUGUAAAGUGAUUUAAGUGUUCUCAGAUAUUUAAAUUAAAAUUUAGAUCUCUAUUUUAUAUUAUACUAAAACCAUUAUAUUCUUUUUUUUAUAUAUGUAUUAUUAUCAUAUAAUUUAUUUUAUAAUUUAUUUUUUUUUUAAUGAAAUGCCAAACAGAAUUUAUGUCAUCACAUUAUGUUUUUACCAUAGUUUUAUUAUGAAUUUAUGCCGAGAGAUAAUUAUCUUAUUUUUAUGAAUAUUUCAAAAAUAAUUUUUAAAAAAUUUACUUAAAAUAUAAUUUUAUAGAAAUAUAUUAUCAAAAUAUUAUAAAAAGAUAUUUUAUAAUAAUAAAUAUUUUAAAAUAAUGAAAUAUUGUUCUAAUAAAAAUGUAUCAUACUAUAAAAAUAUAAUAAAAAUGUAUCUUUAGAAACGUUACUAUGAUAUAAAUAAUAAAAUAACAAUCACAUAAAAUAUAAAAUAACAUUUUGUCUUAAAAAUAUAUAAAAAUCAGUAAUAUUAGAGAAUGAAAUAAUGAUUAUAAUAUGAAUAGUUCAUAUUAAAUUGAAGAUUAACAAUUGGUUAUUCACAUAUUAUUCAUUUAAAUAAUAAAUAAAAAUCGAAUGUUUCAAAUAUAAACUAAAAUUCUCUUGAGCAAUUUUUAUAUGUAUGCAUCGAUUUUUCGAGUACAAUUUUAUUUUAACUGUUUAGAUUAUUUGAAUAUAACUUAAUCUGAAUAAAAUCUAAGAUCCUUAGGUUAUUGAGUAUGAUACCAUGCAUAAUGAAAAUACUUUUAUAUAUCAGAUGCUUGAGUUAAUAUUACAGCUGAACUAUCAAUCCGUAUAUGUAAUUAUUUACAUUAAAGCUCCUUUAUUCCCACCUAAUCCAUUGUACAUAUUAUACAACGUUCAAUUUUUAAUCUCACUUUGUUGUUUUCUUUUAUUAUUUCUAUCUAACACAUGUUACACGCACAAUAUACAAACAAUAUUUAUCAAACAUCUAUUGAACUAAUUAAAAUAACAUAAAAAUCAUCUGUAUUUAUCUAAAUCUUUUUUAUGAAAAAAAUUUUUUCCAAUUAAAGUUUGUUAUAUAAUAUAUAAGGUUAUAUAUUUCUUACUUAAAUAUUUAUAAUAUUUUAUUCCAUUGAAAAAUGAUUAAUUAGAGAAAAUCAAAAAAAAAAAUUGUUUUUAUUGUGACGAUUAAAACAUUAUGAAAAAAAAUUUGACGCUGGAACAUAUAUUUUAACUCGUAAGUUAUUAAUGUCCAAAAUUGACAUAGCGAUUGAUCAAAUAUGUUGUGAUAAAUAUGUUGAAUUACAAGAGAAGACAACUACAGAGAUCAUAUCACGGUGGAUGCUAUUGGUAAACUCGAAAAUCCAACUCAAUAAAUAUUAAACGAGCUGAGACGCUUGAUGGUUGCUAGCGACUAGCUUCCAUCAGUUAUUCGCAAGCCAUCCGACAGCCGUGUGAAAUGAAAUUGAAUCGAGGAUCCACGUUCGAAUCACUUGAACUCCGCGAACUUAGUUACGUAACAUUUCAAAUCGAUUUCAAGAACCUAGAGGGCGUUUUUUCCGAAAUAGUAUUUGUAUCUGAAUAGCAUUUGGAUUUAAAUAUUUUAAAUACUAGGGAAUUUGUAUAGGUUGGUAAUAUAUAUUAUGGAAACUAUGUAAUUUUAAUAAUUAAAUAUUACGGAAAUUUAAUGUUAAAAGUCUAAUUAUGCAUAAUAGCUUUGAAAUAAAAUUAAAACUGAUUAAUUUGUUACAUAAAUAUUUAGAUAAAAAAUAUUUGAAGUAAUAAAUUAAAAAAGUAAUAGAAUAUCGUAAUAUAUCGUAAUAUAGUAAUAAAAAUAUAAAAUCUGUUAUUACACUUUUAAAUCUUUUAAAAUUGUUUCACAAAUCAAAUAAAAAAUUUAAAUGUGAAACUAUAAUAAGACAAAGAAUUAUUACAAAAAUUUAAGAAUGAAAUAAAUUAAAAACAUAUACUAAUUCAAAGUUUAAGCAAAAUAGAGAAAAAGAGAAAAAUCGAUGAUUUGAAUAAUUCUAAAUUUACUAUAACUUAUUAAAAGUAAUUAAUUUUCUGAUUAAAUUUAAUAAUUAUAAUGUAAUUAUAUAAUAUAUAAUUAUAAAAUGAAGAACUUAAAAUUAAUUAUAAAAUUACAAGAAAAGAUCACUUUUAUCAAUUAUCAAUAUUUCGGAAAGAAACUCUAUCGAGAAAAAAUAUUUAUAAAUUAUAGAAAUGGCUAUUAAAUUAAUUUGUAAAAUUUAAUAAAAUUUUAAAUUCUUUAAUAAAAAUAUUAAAAUAAAAAUCUAACAUGUCACUACUAAAAAAUAUUAUCCAUUAAUAAAUAAUCCCAUCUCAAAUUUCCCAUUGAAAUUAAUAUAGCAAUUGCGAAUCGAAGUAUCUUUUAUUUGAAACAAAGGCAUGAAGAGAAAAACCAAAGAUCAUCAAGACCGACAAACAUAAAAAUGUCUUGUCGAAUCAUCUUCGUUGCGAAAAAAGCUCACAAGCAAGAGCUGGCAAUGGCUGUCGAUAUUUAACGAAUUAUCCCAGGUGCGGGUAAAUAUAAAUCUACUCCAGGUCGGAUCGUAUGUAUUAUGCAUGAGCUGCAAUGUAGCUGUCCCCCUACAGAGGUCGGAUAACCUAACCCGUCGAGAGAGCAGGCAAGUGUUCAAUAUAUCCUAGUCUAUCGAUCUCGUCGACCGAGCGCGAAAAGACGCGAGAAACGGGACAGUGGAUAAGUAAUUAAUAUUCUCCAGAUACAGAUAAGGAGCAACACUAUGGCUGAGGGCGACACCAGCUAAUUCUAGUGGACGCGUGUCUACACUCGAACUCUUGGCCUAAAGAGGACCGUCGGAAAAAACUCUACUGACUUCGCGAGAGAUAUAGGAAUAUACACGAUAUCUCAUUGUUCAUAGCAAUGACAACUAAGUAAAAAAUAAUUCUUCGUGCAAAAAUAAAUUGAAACGAACAAAAUAAAACUUUUUCAUUUGAUUUUUUUUUUUAAUUUUUAAAUCAAAUCAAAUGGAAAAUUUUCAAAUACAAAUAAAGUUAAUUUAAUUCUUGAUUAGAUACAAAUAAAUUGUCGAUAAGAGGUAAUUCUACAUACGAAAAUAAGGAAAAAAUGUAGAAUAAAUUUUGUUUGUUUAAAAAUUAAAUUUGAAAAUCAAUUAUACGAUUUUUUGUAUACGAUUCCGAUCUCUUGAUUUUCUCAAAAACAAGGAUGAUAAAAUUUAUAUAUGUAAAUUAAAAUUUGCAUAUAUAAAACAAGAGCCAUAAAAUUUUAUUCCAUAUUUUUUAUUAUUUUUAUACGUAAAAUAAUCAUUUAUCGAUAGUUCAUUUGUAUCUAAUCGGAAAUUAACCAAUAUCACUUGUAUUUAAAAAAUUUUUAACAUAAACUUGAUUUAUUUAAAAACAAAACUUUAAAUAAAAAAAAUUUUAUUCUUUCUUUUCCACUUAUAUCUUCGUAAAGAAUCUUCUCUUGCUUGAUCACGAAUAAUGAGACAUUCUGAUGUAAGAUAUAAGAAAAUUUUUUUAUGAAUCGUUUUAAUUUUCUAAUAUAUUUAGAUAUUAUUUAUAGUACAAUAACUGAAAAAAUUUUUAUCAAUAAAAUAUAGUAUAAUAUAAUAAAUAUUGAAAAAAACUUAAAAAUUGUUAACCAGAUGGAAUUAUUAAUUUUUUUCAAGAGUGUUUUAUCGCAUAUGAUGGUGAGUAAGGUUGUUUAACGGUUACAACACAAUGUGUGCAGCAAGUAGGCUGAUCAGUGGCAAUUGUAUCUGCAACAAUGGCAGAUGUCAAAUUGUCAGAUGAUCUCCGUUGAACGCGGAACAUAAGCUACUUUUGUGAAGACACGCCGAUACAUUAUGCAUUCUAGAGCGUGCGAGUUUACGCGAGAUGUUUUCGAGAAGUUUGCAUCACAAAAAUACUUUGGUCGAAUGCCUGAAACUCUCGAUAACUCGCUCACCAAAUAUUUAACGAGAGAUGCAUUUCUUUUCUUGGAUCGAAAAAUAAAUGAUAAUAUUCAAUAAUCACUUUAAUAAUUUAAAUAAGUAUUACUUGCUUAUAAAAAAAUUUUUCAAAUUAUAUUUGAAUAUUCUUUCACGAUAUUAACAUUGUAGACUAGAAAUGAGAUGAAUCCAAAUUUUUAUGCAAUUUCACAUAUGAUAAAAUAAAUUUUUCACAUAUUCAAUACGUUUAAAUCUCAACAAUGAAUAUGUAAUCAUCUAUGUUAUAAAAAUCUUUUAUUUAAAAAAAAUGAAGAUCAUAAAAUAUUUAUAUGAUAAACGAAUAAACACAUUAGUAUACUAAUUAGGCAUAGAAAAUGUUAAUGUAAUCAUUAAUGAUCAAAAUUAUUAGUGAGAACUUACCACGUUUAAUGCCACGUGUAUGUUUUUAAUGAACUUUUUCCUCGUAUCAUUAAUGCGUUUCUACAACGCAUAAAAAACAUGAUACCAUUAACCAUCGAUAACACGUUUAACUUAACUUGAAAGAAUAAUCAGUAAUGGUUAAAUGUUAUUCCCUUAUUAAUUUCCAUUUCUUCCAAAUUACGAGAGAAGAAUAAUGAUAUUUCUUUUUAAUAUACGCGUAAUAUACGCAUAUAAGUAGUUUAAUGGAGAUAAUUUUGUGCAAGCAUACAUAAGAUGGACAAAGAGCAUCGAGAACAUUUCCAUUUCAUCGAUUGGUCGCGUUACGACUCGAUGGGACAGAACGUAUCGGAUAAACGUCAGCAUGGCAAGUUGCGCGGUCGGAAUAAUCGGCCCGUUGAAACGUAGUUAAUCAUAAUGCCGAUUAUUUCGCGGAUAGUUGCAGGAACCGACGUCUAUUUCCGUUUUACCGUCAGUCUCGUUUCUGUCAUUCUCGAUACGAUUCUAUUUGCGAGAGAGAUCGACCGGGUCACACGGUUAAGCGUCGUUCAUCCGAUAAUGAAGAUGGAUUUCUCGAGAUUUUCCUGUAGAAUUUAAUAUGAGAUGAACGUGGCGCGCGCAGCGCGAAUAAAUCGAAUCGAGUUCACGAAGGCUUUGAAACGAUUUCUUCUUUAUCGAUAGAGAUGCAUUUUCGCGCAUAUAAGAUCUGAGAGGUUAUGUUUUUUAAAUUAUGGGAAAUCGUAAAUAAUCUAUUCGAUACAGUUUGAUUUAUAAUAUACGUUCUUUUUUGAAUGUAAAAAAUGAAAAAUGUUUAAAAAAUUAUGUUAUUUCAUAUUAUAUUAUAAAGCAUUUCGCUAUAAUAAGCAAAGUCAAACCAAGUUUAAUAGAGCAGAGUAACACGUUUCAAUACCCAAUUGAUUGUUCCUACGCGAUUCAGUACAACGGUUGUUUGUACUCAGGGAUAGGAGCCCUUAAGCAAUAAAAGGGUUAAUAACAUGUUCCCUGCGUGGGUCGUAUAUCCUAUAUUGAAUAUUCCCUUCAAAUCAUUUUCUUUGUUAAAUUUGAAUAUAGAAUAUUUCAUAAAAUCACGUUUUGAUAUUUAAAUAUUUCCAAUUAUUGUUUUAUACCUAUUUUCAAUUUUAAAUUUCAUAUAUUUUUCCCAUACAGUUAAUAUUUUUUACAAGUAUUAUGACGUAUCUCAUGAGAGAAAAUUUAUUAGUUUCGAUAAUGAAUUGCCUUAUUUUGCCAUUAUCAAAGUUAUUUUUUCUACAAUCACGCGAUUUGAGAAUCUUUAAUGAUUAUACAGAUAUUGAUACAUUUUGUAAUAAGAAGAUAACAUGAUCGAGCAAUCGAAACUAAACAUGACAGAGAAAAAAAAGACAAGAAAGUUUCGUCCGCUUCCUUUUUUUGUUAUUUAUUCGGCUAUUUUCAUACGUUAAACAUAGAAGAGAAACACAUUUAAUGAAAUCAAUUACAUAAAUAAGUUUUAUUAGAUUAAUUUGCUUUCGCCCUAAAUAAUAUUUAUUUAUUUAUUUACGGAAAAGAUUAUUUGUGUGUACGCAUAUAUAUGAAAACAGCAUAUCAUUAUAACAACAACAACAACAACAACAACAAUAACAACAACAAUGAUAAUAAAAGCAAAAAUAAUUAUUAUAACAAGGAUGAAGUUUUUACAUUUUACAAAAAUUUCUCAGUUCUGGAAGAACUAUAUAAUUUAUCUCAACUAGAUUUAAAAUUAUUAUAAUUAUAAAAUGAUGAUCUUCCAGCGAUUAUUCAAUAUCUUAAGAAAUAACUUGCAUCAUGUUAUAAAAAAUACUAAACAAGAGAUCCGUAUAUUUAUAAACAAAUAACUUUUAUUCCCAUAGCAAUACUUUUCUAAAAAUAAAUUUUCUUAAAAAUAACUUUCUCCUAUCUAAUUUUUCUAUACAUUAGAAUAAAAUAAGAUAAUAAUAUCUUAAUAAUAACUUAAUAUUAUAUUUCAUUCCGUGAAUAUGAUUUUACUAUUAUCAUAAAAUGCAUAAAAAAAUAAAAAAAUACUAUAAAAAAAAUUAUUUAUCCAAACACGUCAACAAUAAUUAAUUCAACAAAUUUCAUCUUCAAUAUUCUUCAAUCUUUGAAUUCAAUGAAUCGACUUAAAUUAUUAGCUUUUCAAAAGAAUAUUUAUUCUCAUAAUGAUUGAAUCGCAUCGUUUCGAAUUCACAUCGUACAAAUACGGAAUGGAAAAUUCGAGUCUCGAUUACUCGAUGCAAUUUCGAUCAAGAUCAGUUUCAUAUAAAAAAUAAUAUUGAAUCAAGGAACGUACGUGGCGGAUAGAUAGGAUUCGAAUUUUCAUAGGAUGCAACAGGGUUCGAUCGAGCCGUUGAAAAAACGUGCUCCGGAGAAAGCGGGGAAAAAGCGAGGAAAAAGGGAACGGUUAACUAGACGCGGAUACCUUAGAGCACUGUGUAAAAGGGAUGUCGGCCCUCGUGAUCUCCUUUUGCUCGACGGUGCGAAGGAAAAACAAUACACGUAACAAAUACCUUUGGAGAGCCUCGAUCAAUAGCAAUAUCGGGACAUACUGUGCCGUGGUACCGUAUGUAUCUUAGAUAUGUACGAAUAUCAUCUUUGCGCUCCAUCUUAAUCGUAAUCUCGAUAAUCUAAUCCGAAGAGAAUUUUUUUUAUUUUUUUAUUUUCGAUAAUUCGAUCAGAUACAUUGCAGUUGAAAUUAUGGAAGCGAAGAGAGUUAAUUAAAAUUAGGUUUUUCUAAAAAUCUUUUCAAAAGAUACAAUCUUUUGAUGCGAUGACACGUAUGAUUUCAAUCUUCAAUUUUAUUAUUAAUUAUCUAAAUUAUUCUAAUUAAAAUAUGACGAUAAUCUGACGAACAAUUUAUAUAGAGUUUGAUAUAGAAUGAAAAAGUAAUUAUCUGGUAGAUGAUCGGAAAAAUUAAAUAUACGAAACUAGAUAAAUAUUGAAAAUUAACGAAUCAUCAAUUUUCAUCGAACAAUGGGAAUCUAGAUACCAAUCUUGAAUCAGUACGGGUUUAACGGGGAACAAAACUCUCGAGAUCUCUCGUUUAAUCGUCACGAAACGUCAACGGAACGUUUUCUUACGAAAAUCUAACUCCCCCUUUAAGGAGGAAAGGCUGUCGUUCUGAAGGAAAAUACCAGGUGGCCACCAAACCAUCUCGAAGCGAAACUUUUACACUGGUGGUACGAGCGCGUAACAGCCGUCUCUAUCCCUCGAAACCACGAUAUUUCGAAGAUCCAUGCGGCCGUCUGUUGCCGUACCGGAUAUCCGCUCAUCCUGCCGCCACAGAAGAAACAUCUUGGCUUCCGACGACGCUGGAAAAUCUCUCUCCAACUCGUUCAAUCUUCACUUAUGUAAAAUACGAACACGUGUCCCGAUCUGUUCUGAUGUAUAACGCCACUCGAUAACGGCGUUCUCGGCCGUCUAUUGCGUUUCGAUAAGUCGAUUUAAAGCUCGUUUCGAGUGUUUUUGGUAUGGUGGUGGUAUGGAAUGAUGUAAUUCGAAAUAGAGCCGAUCAAUCGAUUUUCUCGAGAUCUCUUUCUCGAGAAAGGAAGAAUCAAUAUUGUUGAGAGGAAAUUUUGUUUUAACUUGUUAUUUUGGAAACGAUGCGGAAUUACUUUAUUUUUUUUUUUUUUUUUUUUUUUUUUUAAGAGAAAUUUCUGAUCAGUUUUUUUUCUCGAAGAUAUUUUAGAAAUGAUAUAAUGGUAAAGGGGAAUUUUUAAAAAUUCUUAAAAAUGAGUAAAAUAAAUCAAUAAAUAAAUUUCUAUUAUUAAUUCCUAUGCUUUGAUAAUUAGCAAUUUUAUUUUACGCUGUAAAUAUUUCACGAAGGAAACAGGUUUAUAAAAAAAAAAAAAAAGUAUGAAUAAUUCAUUGAACUUUUUUUUUUUUAAAUAUUUCUUAUAAAAGAUUUCUUGUAUAUAUUUCACAAUAUGUAAAUUAAUUUUUCUCUAAGAUUUUUAAAAUAGAUUGAAAUAUUUAUUUAAACAUGUAUGAAUGUAAUAAAAAUAUAAUCUAUCUUUGCCUAACUAGAAAGAUAUUUCUAAAAGAAUAAAAAAUAAAUACAACAAAUAUCUUCUAAAAAAAUAUAAGAAAAAUAUAAUACUAAUAAUUCUAUUUAACAUAAGAAGAAAAUAAUUGCUAUUAUUUAUAUGUUAGAACUAAGAAUUCCAAUAAUUCUACAUCCAUAUGAAAAUAUAACUUAAAAACUGUAAAGAAUAAAUAACAUUCGUUACACGUUCAUUAGAGAUGAUAAUAAUAAUAAUACAAUAAAUCCAUACUUCUGAAAUUGUAAAAAGUAAUAAAGAUCGCGUCGUUGUUAUUAAAUAAAUAAAAUAAAUAAAAAAUAUAACGAUUACACUUUCUUAAAAAAAAAAAAAAACACAACAUCAACGAAAAGAAUACAAAAUACGGGUGAAUAAGAAAAAUAAAAAUAAAGAAAAAAAUUUCUAGAACAAAUUUUCAUAGCUAUCCGCUUUUUAAACGAGACGAAAUACGUAGCGGACGCACAAGAGCUGCCAUUUAACCGAGGCACGUGUGAUCUGCGCACUUGGCACGCGACCAAAAGGGAGAGAAUGAGACCAAACUCCGGAGAUGACGUCACCGGGUGACCAGUACUCCGAAGAUCGGACGAAAUCUCAAAGUAAGGCCGGCCGAUUGUUCCUGUGUGUCCGCGUUCAGGCUAUCGCUAUCGCGAGUUAUAUCGCUUUUCAUCGACGACGAGGGGGAGCAACAGGUUCCACAGGUUCUCUCGUGCAGCGAGAAAACGAAGGAAGCCCUUUCGACUCGAGGCGAAAGCUUUGUCUCCGUGAUUUGCUCGAUCGAAACGAUUAAGGAAGAUUUAUCCAAAACGACAGAGGCAUUGGAAAUUGCAUUUAGAUGGAACAGCUAUGAUUAAGAAAUGAGAAUUUUGUUGAACUGAAUAAGAUACUGAUUGAAGAAAAAAUGAGGUAAGAGUAAUUGAGGUACAUAAAUGACUAAUAUUUUCUUGGUAUGAAAGAACGAGAUCAGCAAGCAAGCUUAAGAUCCUUGAAGUGAUAUUGUAUCACGGUCACGUGAUGAUGCGACACGUGAAAGAACAAGACGAAACACGUAGAUGAAAACUAUAGACGAUUAAGUCACAUUAUUUAGAAAUAAUAUCACGAAUAUUCGUUUCCCGUUCAAUCCUAUAUUCGACACUACACCAAGAUUUUACAAUUCAAAUAUUAUCUUCGAUGGCGAUAAAUGUAAAACUCGAAUCUUUAUGAUUUUUCACAAUCAAACGAUGCAAUCCUACGACUCGUUCACUAAAGAUCUCGAUAAAACUUUAGAAAACCGAGAGACGUCAAAACUAGUUCGAAUUCAAAAAAUCGAUCGCUUAUUUAGAAAAAAAUCCCUUAUCAACACCUGAUGUCAUCCUACAAAACCUACAAAAUUCCACCGCAAUAGUCAGCAGCCUAAAUCCGUUCAAACGCAUCACGCGCGAGGGCGCCUUGGCCUAGUGCUUAGAAAAUGGUGGAAACUUACGCCGAAAACAUCUCUCUCGAUUGGCCAUGUUGAACUUUCGAUACCAUCGAAUCGUUUCACACCUUUUCAAUUCUUCGUCCAAUCUUUGAAUCUUUAAAUAACAUAUAUAUUAUACAUAUAUAUAUAUAUAUAUACAUAUAUACAUCCCAACGUGAUCCACUAAAUUCUUCCAGAACUGCUCUACACUAUUAUAGUUUUCUUUUUUCUUUUUCAAUUCAAACAACAACUAAACAUGGUUGCACGUACACACGCGGUGAACACGCGGAUGGAGAAGAAGAAUAACGGGGAAAUCGAUCUCGAAACUUGGCAAACGGCGGGCCGAUCGUGCAACCAGUUCAAAUUUCAAAUUGGAUCCGACGACACGAGAAGAAGAAAGACAGGAUAGGAAAUACAACUCCACUCCAUGGCUCGGAACGCGUUUCCUUGAUCCUUCGCUCCGUCCAACUGGUCCCACCGGCGUGUACCACCGAAAGAUCGGCGGUUAGUGGCGGUCGUGGGAAUCAAGGAGGAACGGAAGAAGAAAGAACCGAACGAAAACGUAGGUCCGUCAAGCCGGGAAGAGACAGAGUUAGUGGAUAGAAGAAGAGAUGUUGCCGGUGUGCCGUGGUGUAUUAACAAACCGCGUGAAAAGAUCCCAAAAAUAAUUUCGGCGUGAAGAAAUAAAUCCGGGUGAGGCGGUCGCGAGGGUGCCUAAAAGAAGGUUCGCCACCGGGUGCCUUCUGGGAAUGAAACCGGCAUAGUAUGCCCGAGUUAUAAGAAGAGCGGUGUAGCGAUCGCAUCGGCUAGUCGCUAAAGAGUUUUGCCGCGGCUAAGAACGGAUCAAGGGGAGGCGAACGGGUUUAAACGCGAGAAGCCUCUAACGCAUAUUUCGAACAACUUGAAGAAUCUUUCUAUGGGUGCACGAUCACGACGGAUUUAAAAGUAUAUACGUACAUACAUACAUAACUACAUAUAUAUAUAUAUAUAUAUGAGAUAUCUUUCGUUCCGUUCUGGGGAUGUCCACGAGAAAUCACGAGAUGCGGAUCGAACGAAUUGCAAUUGUUCGGUGUUUCUUUUUUUUUCUUUUUUUCCCCUUUUUUUCUUUCUUUAUAAAGUAAGUAGAAUAGAAGCGAGAGAGAGAAAGAGAGAGAGAGAGAGAGGAUGGCCAGGAUGAGGAGACGGGCCGAAUAUGCGGCAACGCGAGAGACGCAAUGGCAAGGCAAGGCAAAGCAAGCAGGCAGCACAAGCAGGCAGGACUUACCUCUGCUGUUUUUAGAACUCCACUCCCAGAACUGCGCGGGUCGAGCCGAGCCAAAACCAAAAUACCACCGAUAUAGCUUUUCUGCGAUGGUCUUUGUGUAAGCGACCAACCAGCUCUUUCGUACGGACAUCCAACCGGCUUGCACCGGAGUCGAACGCCCGACAAACUAACCUUACCGACGCGACCAAACGACGACGACGACGACGACGACGACGACGACGACGAUGAUGAUGAUGACGAGACACGACGAAGAACGAAAGACGAUGCAUCGAGGGAAAAAGUAUAUUGUAAUAUGAGAAUGAUAUUCGUUUAUCGAUGUUCAGGGUGGUUUUGGCGCUUGGCUUCAUAGGUUUGGUGCGAAUGAGAGAAUGUUUGAUUAUCGAAGAAUUCAUGCGAUUGGCCUGUGAAUACGAUGUUGCGGAUACUCGUUAUCGAAGAAAAUAGGUUAUUGAGAAUUUAUCGUAAGUAUCGUUGAAUAUUUUGAAUAAAAAUUAAUUUUAGGAUGAAACAAAGAAGAUCGUCAGCACGUUUUAUUAGAUAAUAAAUAUUUUAAUUAUUCGUAAUUAUCGAUGAAUUUAGUUUGCAUUUAAUGAAUGCGUCAUGAUUUUCAUAUAAUUUUCUCAAAUAUGAUCGAAAUUUAUUUAUAUAAAUGCUAACGUUUCAAAAGAAAGGAAAAUGGUACGCUUACCUUUCUAUUGCAUGUAGGAGCCAAAAUACAGGGUCGGUGUUGCAUUCACGACGAUUGUCCUGAAAACGAAAAAAAGAGGAUGGCUCUUAAUUUUCGAAAGCGCGUGCACAUUUAAGAAUUUUCAAUCCAAAUCAUCGAAUAAUUUCUUUCAAAUCGCAAGAAAAAUUGAAAAUCAAAUCUACUCCAAUCUCGUCAAACAUAAUAAAAUUCUUCGAGCCAAGAGAAGAUCCAAUAUCUAAUCUAAAUUCUGAACGAAAGGAAACGAUUGAUCAGAUUGAAAUGAUAGAAAAACAUUAAUUAAAAUCUUCAUUGAUUAAAAGUUAUACCUUAAAAAUUUAAUUAAGAACCUUAACAAAGAAAUGAUAAACUCUGAUAUAAUUAAAACUCGGGAAAUGAGGGAAUAAUGACUUUAUUUUAUUCAAAAAAAAAAGAAAAAAGGAUAUAAAUCGAGGAGAGGGGAUCAUAAAUGGGCGAAUGAACCGACGUGACACGAUAUAAUUCCUAAACCAUCCCCUGGAAACCGAAUCCCGUCCCAUCGGUUGUUGUAAAAAAACCGAUCGAAAAUCGCAGCAGCUCGUCGCAACGUCCAAGUUUCCAUAAUUACACCGGGACAAUUGAAUCACCGAACCAAUUCCACCAGUCACGAUGGAAGAUUCAACUGAAUUCUUUAUGCCAUCUCCUCCGUUUCGCCGUAUUCACCUUUAAUCGGGUUAACGGAGCAUGGAAGCUUCUCCAAAAUAGUCGGUCGUUAUUAAUUUAAGUCACUCUUAAUACGGUUCCACCAGGAAAAUCGUUAUCAUUCGUUCUUCGUCCCGGUUCGAUCGAUCGGAAUGAACAGAGGGAUAACAGAGUUCGAAAGUUCAUGCUCCGCUCGGGUCGGACGAGUCUUUAUUCUUUGCGACAAUUUUUUUUCGGGUCGAUUUUUUUUCAAACGCUUUUUCAAGUGCAAUCAAAUCGAUGAUGUCCCCUCCCUCUCCGCUGUUUAUUUAUUUCCUCGAGAAUGAAAGAGAAGUGAAAAGAUUUGGAAGAUUUGAUAAACGUAUUACACGACGUAAUAUUUGUUGAAAAAAGAUUUUUACCAGUGAUCGAUAUAUAUUUCUUUUUUCUUUCUUUUUUUUUUUUCUUUUCUUUUUUAGAAGAUUUUGACAUUGCAUCACGCAUCUGAUACGUUAUCAGACUGGACGGUUUAAAUUAGUUUAUUUUAUAUUAUAACUUAUCUCUGUCCUUUUUUUUAAUAUAUUAAUGAUUUUUAUAAUUACUUUCAUGGCUAUAAAAAUAUAUAAUGGGAUGUAAAAUAAGAUCAAGUACGGAAUGAAUAAAAAUAAAAUGCGUAAUCGAUCAUCGAUCAAAUAGAAUGGCAAAGUUCAAAAGGACAUAUAUUACUAUUGAAGACGAUUUACUUUUUAUUCGAAAGAAAUAAGAAAUUUUUGGAUUGAUAAAUAUUACGUAAUACAUACUUUUGUUAUCUUCUCGUUAACUUCAUUUAUGUUAUCAGUGGCAAUAUAUUACGAUAUCGUGGAUUCAUUAUUUUCGCUGAAAAUCCAAUAUUUUUUCGAUUGAGGCAUCGAAUUUGGAAAAUUGUAGAGAAUUUGUAUAAUUUUUUAACUCGUUUAAGGUAUAAUUCAAUAUUUUUUAAAAUUAUUUUCCAUUUCCUCUUCAACAUCCACCAGUUAUUCCACGCAGAAGACAUACGUCAGAAAAUGUCAGCUCAAAAAGCGAGCCAAAUCUUGAAGCUCAACUGAUUCAUUGAUGAGAUCAUGCGACUAAAGCGGAAUAGUUUUGCCAACUUACUCCUAAAUUUCCACUUUUCUCUCACUUAGAGAAAUCACACCGCGAUAAAAAUAAUCUUUAUUCUUUCCAGAAGAAUUCCAGAAUAUCGAAUAGACGAAAUCACGCUUCGAAACUUUACAAGAAAAUGGUAGAAAGAAGAAACGAAGAUGGAAAGAUUCCGGUCAUAAGAAAUCUCCGAAGGAAGAUUUACCGUUUCGGAUCAAAAUUGUAAUCAAAAAUCAUCUAAAUCUAAAAAAAGAAUUGUCCCUGAUCAAAUAUCCAGAUAUCUUUCUCUCGAAGAAAGAAAGGAAAAUAAAACUUUCUCGGACGAUAAUUAACAUUGGAACAAUCCCUCGAUAAACGUACCAAAAUCCAAUUUGCCAAGAUCCAAUUAACGGCCGGCGCAGAUGAAAAAAAGAAAGAGCGUUUUUCGAUGGGGUGGGGAAGAGAGUGUGUGCGCGUACGAAAGAAAGGCGACAAUAAUUUUUGCUUUCGGCGAAGCGGCGGCGGCUAGGAAAGAGGAAGGCAUAAAACGACAUUGCUCUGGAUCGGCACGUGCCACUCGAUAAAUCUGUCGGCAGCUGACGGCAGCAGCCGGCUGCAGCCUCCCGCCUGCACUUGCGCUUUCCUCCUCCUCCCCCCUUCUUCCUCCCCUGUGUCUUAACGUUUCCUCCGCCCCCGUCUCAUUCCACCCCCGGAGUCCCUUCGCUCUUACGUGAACUCCUCGCGACCCUUGCUCGCGAGGGCAACCGUUGCAACCGCGUCUUCUCCGGCCGAACGGCGUAGAGUCAUGCUACGUGUGCAAGGACGGUGAAUUCGAACGUGAUUGUUACUCGAUAUUUCAGAUUUAUUAAGAUCGAGGGUGGCCAAUACCACGGGAAGAAAUUUCUUCUCGUGUUAUCGAAGUAAAAUUUUGUACAUACGUACAAUACAUUGUGAUGAUACUUAGAUUUUGAAGUUAUUUCAAUUUUGUGUAAGAAGAAAUGAUCGAUUAAUCGAUUAAUCGUGGAUUGCAACCGGUGAAGAAAAGACUUUUUCGUUUCGACGUAACUUUAGGUACGGAAAAAAAGGAGAAUUUGCCUGAAUUAUUUCAUUGACGCAGAGGAAGUAAAUAUAUCAAAUUUCAAGAUACGUGUUUUCGCGGUUACGUAAGGGAAGAUUCACGAUCUGAAAACAGGAAGGGAAUUUUUCGACCGUAAACACGUAACGAACGAUUUCGAUUUUAUGAGGAAUAGAGGUUCUCUCCUCUUAGGCCCGUAUUCCGAACGAUCCGGGAGAGCCUGGAUCCCUCCCAAGGGAACGUGUGCACACACGUGUGUAUAAUCCACGCUGCUACUUAAUGCGAACGACAAUGCUUAAGAGGAAGGGCUUCUAUGUUUCUAUGCUAACGUUUUAUUCGAGGCUAGAUAAUCUCUGCCUGUUAAUAUCUAAACAUUGUAAUAUAAUGUAUGAUUUCUUUGAUCAGGUAUUUGAUUUGAUUAAAUCCACUUUCUUAUCUUUAUUUUUAUAGAAGGAUUAUUUAAAAUGCAUACAAUUGAAACGGAUAAUUUAUUUCCAGAAUAUUUAAAAUGAUUAAAAUUAAAUAAUUUAUAGCCUGAAUCGAGAAUAUAUAAAGUAUAAUAUAUUUAUUUUCGAUAUACGUCGAUAUAUCAUUUAAAAUUUAAAUGAUUAUAAAUUAAAUAAUUUAUAAAUUUCAAUUUUAAA